GGCCAGGUCUUGGGUGACGCACUUCAGAAUCGGACUCCUUCCUCUCUGGUUCUGGGAGCGUCACCUGAGAAUCACA
rfam:Myotis brandtii contig279843, whole genome shotgun sequence.